rnacentral:lncRNA from 1 species
UCGAUAGACUAGUUGUCUCAUAGGCAAUCAUACCACAUCUUAUUUUAUAGACUGGUUGGCUGGAAUCAGAAUAUUAAUUAAGGAUAUGUUGAUCUAGUUUUGAGGUUAAAAUGUUGAAGCCACAGACCAAAAAUGGAAGUGAAAGGUUUUUGUCGAGCCUUCGACUUUAGUCGAAAAGUGAGACUAAGCAAUCCUACAUUCCGUUGGCGGCG